UUAAUAAAUAUAGUAGUAUUUUAAAAAAACGAAUAUGUUGUUAAAAUAUAUUCAAAGCAAUUAUAAUAUGGAGUAAAAGGAGUACUAAUUUAGAAAAAAACGAAGGACAGAAAAGAAAGGAAAGGAAAAGUAAAAGCAAACGACGAUUCAGACAGACAGGCUCCCUUCCAUGCCUCCCCAUUGCUCCUACUCUCCCUUGAGGCCUUGACCCACCCCCAGGAAAAGCAAGGGAAGCAUGCCCAGCAAAAUCGAACCCACAAAACCUCAGGAAUUACCAUCGCCUAGCAAGGAAUCAACAAUCCGUGGUCAAUCCAUGGCAGAUCAGGAUGUGGCCGAGCCAUGGGGCUUGUCGGCAUGGCCCCCCUUGACCUCCCUCCUCCUCCGAGCCAUGAGGAAGCGGCGCACCUGGGCGGCCCUCUUCCUCGCCGUGUACGCCUCUCUGCUCUGCUCGUCGUGGCGCCUGGUGGAGUCCGUGCGCGCCUGGUACUACUCCGCGGCCGGCGGGGCUGGCGCCGUCGCGGCGUGGCCGGCGGCUUUCUACGCGUCCGUGAUGUACGGUGCCGUCUUCGGGCUCCUGUCGAUGGGAGCCGCGUUAGCCGUGGCGGCGCCGGCCAUGCUCAUCACAUGGAUCACCGUGUUGGUGCUACUCGCGUUCGCCGGAAAGCCGCGGAGGUCGCUGGUCGCAGAGGGGCGGCGCGCCACGGCCGAUAUCGCGCGGCUCGCGCUCCGCGUCUUGCUGCGCGAGGGCAACGCAGUCGCUGCGCUCUGCGCCGCCGCCAGCUUCGCGGCCCUCCUCCUCGGCCGCCGCGACGACGACCCGGCGGAGGGGAGCGGCAGCUGAUGUGACGCUUCCUGCAAAAUUGUUCAAUUCCAUGUUUUUUUCUUUCAGUUAAUAUCCGUUUUGGGGUUUCAGUGUUUCACCAACCACCCCUCCCUCACCAUCCUUUUUUUUUUCUGUAGAGGUAUGGCAUCUGUUGCAAGACUUCACCCUUCCGACAGCUAGAAGAAAGCCGUGCAGACUGCAGAACAGAGGAUCCAAAUGGGAGAUCUCGGCCUGGAAGGUACUAGGCGUAGAAGAAACACCGGUUGAGUCCGUUAGGACAUCCCUGAUGGAAGCCACGUGUAGUAGACUAGUAGUAGACUCAUGUAAGCCAAUAUAAUCUAGGAUUAAGGGCCCUUUGAAUCAAACAAAUUAUGGAGGAAAUUUCAUAAGAUUGAAAUCCUACCGGAAAUUUUCUUAUGUAGCUCUUUGAUGAAAAGGAUUGAAAUCCUACAAAAUUCCUAUGGAAUGGCUUGUUGCAUAUAGGUUUUGGAGAGGUCCAAUCUCUUGGUAAAAAUCCUUUGAGUUUAUCUCUCUCAUCCGAUUCCUAUGUUUUUUCUGUGGUCU